UACCUCAGUAACGGCGAGUGAAGCGGUAAUAGCUCAAAUUUGAAAUCUGGCCUCUCGGGGUCCGAGUUGUAAUUUGUAGAGGAUGUUUUGGGUACCGCCCCGGUCUAAAUUUCUUGGAACAGAAUGUCAAAGAGGGUGAGAAUCCCGUCUUGGACCGGCGGUAGGGCCUGUGUAAAACUCCUUCGACGAGUCGAGUUGUUUGGGAAUGCAGCUCAAAAUGGGUGGUAAAUUUCAUCUAAAGCUAAAUAUUGGCCAGAGACCGAUAGCGCACAAGUAGAGUGAUCGAAAGAUGAAAAGCACUUUGAAAAGAGAGUUAAACAGUAUGUGAAAUUGUUGAAAGGGAAGCGCUUGCAACCAGACUUGAGCGCGGCGGUUCCCCCGGUCUUUUGGCCGGGCUACUCCGUCGUGUCCAGGCCAACAUCGGUUCUGAGGGUCGGUCAAAGGCCUUGGGAAUGUAUCUACCCACGGGUAGACUUAUAGACCAGGGUGUCAUGCGGCCUCUCGGGACCGAGGAACGCGCUUCGGCUCGGAUGUUGGCGUAAUGGUUGUCAGCGACCCGUCUUGAAACACGGACCAAGGAGUCUAACAUCUAUGCGAGUGUUUGGGUGUCAAACCCGGAACGCGAAAUGAAAGUGAACGGAGGUAGGAAGCUUCGGCUGCACUAUCGACCGAUCCUGAAGUUUACGGAUGGAUUU
rnacentral:rRNA from 1 species